CCAAUAUCAAAUUUUCUUUGAUAGCCAAUCAGCCAUAUGGCCCGUUUUCUUCCAAUUCAAGAGAGAGGUCUUUCGACAUGUGGCCUUCCCUUUGAAUUCUUUUUAAGCUACAGACUCUUCCCAUUACUGUUUGUAACAAAUCAAUUUUGGGAUGCCAUAUUUGAGAAUGGCGCAGAGGCAACGUCAUGGAACACACAAACCAUCCCCACAGCGGCAUAAUUUUUUCUAUCUGUAUCCAAUAUUUUUUUUUUGAGGUGCAAACCCAAGCCUUGAUUGAGAGUGAAACACCCAGACUUUAUUUUUUGGGUGCAAUACCCAAAUUUGUUUUUAGGAUGCAAAACCCAAACUUUGUUUCCGGGGUGCAAAACCCAAUGCUUUGAUUUCAGGGUUUAUAACCCCAUGAUGGAUUGAACAUCCAAGAAAUUUUGAUUCAAGGAAUGCUGCCCCAAAAUUUGAUUUGUGGGUUUUAUACCCAAUCAUAGGGGACUUCAGGAGAGGAGCCUUGUUGAAGAUGCAACAUGUAUCUGACUGCUUCUGUCUUUGCAGGGAGUAGGGGUGUUGAGCCUCAUUUUUCCUCCACAGUCUCACGAUUGUCCUUCUCUGCCUUUGUGGCUUUUCGGGUUUUUCCUCCCUCUCUGUAAAAAUUCUCCAGCAGCCUUCCCCUUUGUGGGUUCUCCCCCACAUCAUCUGCUAUUCUUCCUUUGAUGCUUGUUUGUGGCUUUGGAUGCUCAAGGCAUCUGUGAGAGAAAUCUCACUGUCCUGCCGCAUUUAAGAACAACGAACGAAGAACUUCGUGUUUGUUGCUCUCUGUAGAAAUCUGUCAGCAAAUUCAUUUGCCCUUGUAUGCUCUCCCCCCCUUUGUUCCUAGGCGUCAUGCCUCUUAUAGAGGCUAUAUUAUGACGAGUUUGAAUUCAAGCUGAUGACCACUUCUCAACUGAGAUGCUUAUCUCUUGGUGUUUCAUAUCUAAACAAAUGCAUCUCUUUUUUUUUUUCUUUUUUUCUUUUUUUUUCUUGAUAAGACUGCAGGGACAAGAAUUUCAAUUAUAUCCCAAGUCAAAUUCCUAGUUGAUUGCUUUUGUGAAAAUUUCCCGUUCAACACACACAUAAAGCAAUUGUCCAGAAAUUUAUCAAGCAAAAGGGGUAUAUCUAACUCAGUUUAUUUUUUUCCUGGGUUGUCAAAGUGUUCAAACAUUCAAAACAUAAUUUAACACAAUAACAUGUCAAAUUUUCCAAAAUGGUGACAUAAUGUACCCAUGAAGUGUCUCAUGUUGUCGGCGAAGAGUAUCGCCAAUACCAUGGGCAUCUAAUGCCUUCCAUGCAUUUGUCCAUGUUCAGAAUGCAAACCCUGUUGUCCUCAAACUAUCCGACGAUUCCAACACUAAGCUUCGGAUACCAAGCCUGCAGCCAAAAAAAAUUGACUUUUGCUUGCUUAGAGUCAUGGUGAACUACAUACUUACAAUCAUAACUUGUUUUAGCAGUACUAAAACACACACAGACAUGCACAGAUGAGAGAGAGAGAGAGAGAGAGAGAGAGAGAGAGAGCCUAUGAAGUCCUAAGGAUGUUGCAAGGCCAGCAAUUCCAGCUCCUACAAUCACAACGCGUGCUUCUGC
rnacentral:lncRNA from 1 species